UACACGUGUCACAAAGUUUUAUAUACCUACAUACCAACAAAAUUAUAAUAAUUUUAAUUCUUUAAUGAUAACUUAACCAAGUUAAAAUCUCAAAUUUAAUUUUAAAUAAUGUAAAUGGUAUCUAUUUAAUAACGAAAUAAGUAUAUUAUGUUGUUAUCUAUUUUUAUAUUUUUUUUAUUUGUAUAUUCAUUAUAAAAUAACUGUUUUGAAUCCUAUUUGUUGGGAACUUGGGCGUAGCUGAAUAUAUUAAUAAAUUAAUAAAUAAUAAAUAGCUAUCAAGUAAAAGUAUUUAAAUUCUACUAAAAUACAAGAAGGAAAGAAUUUAAUUAUUACUAUUCAAAUACUUCACGACUCCAUUAUUAAGUAUACUUUACGAUAGACCAUCGUUUCACAAAGUGUGUUCCGCGGGACAAUCUCAAGGUUUCCGCCAAGUGUAAUAAGUGAUUAUUGAGAAAACUAUUUCAUAUUAUAUUUGGAUUAUUUAUAUUAUUAAAAAUUAUUAUUUUAUAUUAUUUAAAAAAGGGGGUUUCACAAAACACAAACUAUUUCUCAAGAGUUCCGUGAUCGUAAAAGUUUGAGAACUACUCCGAUAGACAAUCAAAUCAUCUGCUUAUUAGUACCAUGUCAUAAUAUAUAAGAUACAACGAUUUCUAAAUAAAACAAUCCGUAUUUGAACAUUUGCUUUGUUUUAAAUCUCAUGCACAAAAACUACCAAUUUUAGUUGUAUAUCUGCAGUAACGCGAUAAUCUGGAUGCAACGAUGGUAUUUUGAAAUGGAAAUUUUUAUUUUAGAUGCAUGUAUACACAUACCUAUCUAUAAAUAGGUAUAUACAGGACUGUAGGUAAUAGCUAGGUAUAUUAUAAUACAUUGGAUACGAACGAAUGUAACUUGUGAUUUCUAGAUAUGGCAGGUAAAGAAUCAACUAUAGGGGUAUGGCUAUGGAAGUUCCAACACGAAAAAAAAAAGUACCGGCUGUACACUAGAUGACGUAUCGUUGAGAUGCGAUGCCCUCAAGUCCAAGUGAUGAGCGCCGUCUGGUAUCAAUAACGCCCUGACGGUCGACGAAAUACUUUUCAACACGCCGCCACUGGACCAUGGGUCCAAUAAACCAUUGCUAAUAAAAAACAAAUAAUCAAGUAAUUAAAGUCUGCUAACGGACAAUAUUUACAAGUGCCUACACAGGGCUGCACUCACCUGAUAAUUCCAUCCGUUCAUCAUAUCGUCGGAAAACGCCGACGACAGAUUUAAACAGCUGGCCGACCCGGUGUAAUUGAAAUAGACGUUCAGUCCGCGAAAUACCGACAUCAGGAGCGUCGAGUCAUCUUCCGUGUGGUUUGUCAUCGACUUGCAGACUUCCUGACGGCAAAAGUUUAUCAUAUUUUUUUAAUAUCCCACAUCACCCUAAUCAAGUAGCUUACAUCGGUUCAAAACUUCGCACGUAAAACAAAUUUGUGAAGUCGACAAAUUAACGAGCAAAGGAGCCAAAAAAUUUGCUUCGUAAGGAUAGUUAACCAUGGCCAAUGCCACAUACACGUCAGCAGCCCAAUAUUUUAACCGUGUUACGUCGUCGGUGUUCUCUAGCGGUCUACAUAGUUUCCAGUUGUCAGUUAACCAUGCUUUUCCAGAAUCUAUAAAAACCGUUUUGUUAGUCGGAACCACAAUGAUCGACGCCGAGUGCAAAUGGAUGGACUGCCACGAACAUUCAGCUGGUGACUGGUGCAACAUACUCGGACCGGGUUGGAGGAUCAAGACUUGGCGACGGUGUAUUGGAUUGUUGGGAAAAUCCGAACAGUGCUGCAAUUGAUGCAAUUAUUAACUGUUCAACUUUUUUUUAAUACAUUUUAACUUUCUGUCGACCCAUUUAUAUAUUUGACACCAGUAUACGUUGUAUCGUAAAAUGCACUUACUUGUACUUAUAUUAUUACUAUUACUUAUUAGUCAUUGAAUUAUUAUCGUGUUGAAAACAUUUUUUUUUGUUUACAAUAAAAAAAAUUAAUAAUAACUUCUUCACAUAA